AGUAAUGUUAUCUGUUUCUUUUGUUUAGUAGCAACUUAGAGGAGUUAUUAAGCUUGGGGUUGCCUCAUGCUCUGGUCUGAUUGAGUCCCUCAGAAUUUGUAUGUUGAAACUUAGUGCCCAAUGUGAUUGUAUUUAGAGGUGGGGGCUUUAGGAGAUGAUUACAUCAUGAGGUUAGAACUCUCAGGCAUAGGAUUUGUGCCCUGAUAAAAGGGCUUGAGGGAAUGAGUUUGGUCUUUUCUGCUCUUUUACAAUGUAAGGAUACAGCACUUGUCCUCCCAAGAAAAAGCAGCAUUUAUGGUUCCAUCUUGAAUAAAAAGACUGGAGCUUCACCAAACACCAAACCUGUUGGCCCCUUGAUCUUGGACUGCGCAGCCUGAAGACCUGUAUAAGAGUCCAUUCAUGAUUUGGCUCUCUUGUUGUUGGUAUAUAGGAAUGUUUGUGACUUUUGCACAUUGAUUUUGUAUCCUGAGACUUUGCUGACGUUGCUUAUCAGCUUAAGAAGAUUUUGGGCUGAAACGAUCGGGUUUUCUACAUACAGGA
rnacentral:lncRNA from 1 species